ensembl:lncRNA novel transcript
AGAUAUGGCUGCUAUGAAAUCUGCUUCUGAUGUGAAGAAAGAUCUCAGCUCUGCAAAAAAUUUUGUUUUUGGUAUUAAAGUUAUGCUGGCCUCAGAGAAUGAGUUAGGAAGCACUCUCUCCAUUUAUCUUGAAAGGUCUUGUCUCCUUCCAAAGGAGAAUGAAGGGGUGUUUACAUUUUUUAAUCCUUAUGUUGCGCUCUGACAUGAGGUGUCCUUCCUCACUGAAGCUCAAACAAAAAGAUUAACUUGAAGUAUGUACUACACUGCUACACACUUCUGAAACUGGAGUACAGUUUCAACUCUGUGCAGGGAGGGUGCAUGAGAGCAGAAUAUCUGUGGGACAUCUCUCUGGAACAUCAAUAUUACUACAGGAUUUGGAAGAAAAAAUUAAAAAAAUUUCCAAGAGUGAUAAGGGGACUCUCCAACUGUACCACCUGUCAUCUGAGCAUACUCCAGCCCAUGACCAUCAGCCCCAGCACCUCCAGAUUGGCAAAGCAUCAGAACU